UACGUAGGGGGCAAGCGUUGUCCGGAAUCAUUGGGCGUAAAGAGCGUGUAGGCGGCCCGAUAAGUCCGCUGUGAAAGUCCAGGGCUCAACCCUGGGAUGCCGGUGGAUACUGUCGGGCUCGAGUCCGGAAGAGGAGUGUGGAAUUCCGUGGUGUAGCGGUGAAAUGCGCAGAUAUCAGGAGGAACACCGGUGGCGAAGGCGGGACUCUGGGCCGAUACUGACGCUGAGGAGCGAAAGCGUGGGGAGCAAACAGG
rnacentral:rRNA from 1 species